UACGUAGGGUCCGAGCGUUGUCCGGAAUUACUGGGCGUAAAGAGCUCGUAGGUGGUUUGUCGCGUUGUUCGUGAAAACUCACAGCUUAACUGUGGGCGUGCGGGCGAUACGGGCAGACUAGAGUACUGCAGGGGAGACUGGAAUUCCUGGUGUAGCGGUGGAAUGCGCAGAUAUCAGGAGGAACACCGGUGGCGAAGGCGGGUCUCUGGGCAGUAACUGACGCUGAGGAGCGAAAGCGUGGGGAGCGAGCAGG
rnacentral:rRNA from 1 species